rnacentral:lncRNA from 1 species
AAAUCGUUAUUAACUUCAUUUGAUACUGAUAUUAAGGUUUAUUUUUUUGCAUAAAUUGAUGGACAAUGAUUAUUUUAUUUAAUAUCAUUAUUAGAAUGGUAUAUGUGCAAUAUUACCAGUCUCCUUUAUAUACAAAGAGCUUGAAUUGUAUUUUUUUAAAUUAUGUAUAAUAUGUUUCAUCAAUUAAAUUUAGCAUUUAAAAAGUGACGUCACUUUUUUUAUAACAUACAUAUGCAGAUUAAGACAUCUUUUACUUUGAAUGUCUGAGGAAAAAAUCUCAAUUAAGUUAUAACCUAAAAAGUGAGUCAGAUACACUCAUUUGUUUUUAAAGUUUAAGUCCUGGAGUAAAAGAUGGAUUUGAUAUGCAGAAAAUAAUGAUCAAAAUCAGGAUAUUGAUGAUAUUUUAUUUGUAAUAUUGAUUUUCUUCAAUAAAUACAGCUUAAGACAAUUAUUACAAAUGAAGUUAUAUGUUCAGUCAUAUUAGAAAAAUUCACUUAAAUAUUCGUUGAAAGAGCCUCUAAAUCACUUGUUAUUGUUCUCAUAACUUGGCUUGAGAUCCAUUGGAGGUAUGAAUUCAUAGUUUUAGAUAUACAACUAUGAGGAUUCGAGUUCUUUGAGUGACUACAUAAUACAGAUUGUUUCGUAUUCUUUGGAGAAUCAAUAAAGUUCACAAAGAGACGAAGAACAUCGUUUUCAUCUUUCUAUUCCGAUUCAGAUUGCUCAAACUGUAAUGAACUUUACAGUUUUCCUCAUGCUCUCCUACGACCUGAUCUUUGGGUGCCUUCCCGAAUCCUCUCAGUAGUUUGCCUCGCCACAGCCAAUGCCUCUUCUUCUAACACAUCCUGGAUCAUAACGACGUGAAAAUCACUACUCUUAAACUUAUAAAUGGAAUUGAUAUUUGUGAUAGAGACUAUUCAGUAGUGAUUCGUGCGUUAUAUGCAUUGAGUACACUUAAGCACUCUUAUCAAUGAAAGAGUUUACUUAAAGUAGAAUUUUAAGCAGCGUUUAGGAGGAUUGAAUACAAGAGUUAGUUUCAAUGAAGGAGCAGUGGGUGGAGGAUGAGAAUUAUCCAUGUUCACUGGAUCUUUCAGUCGAUUAUUCUAUCGUUUUAUGGAACUCCACAGUUCUUAUAUGUAGAAUUAUACGAUGAUUCCGUAGAAGAUCUGGAUGAAUUUAUAUAUUCUUGAGCAGAGGCCAUGAUUCACGAGGUCAGAAGUCACAAUCACAGAGCUUGAUGUAAAAGGGCAUCUUCACAAUGAUGGCUUCAAACAUUAAAAGAGAUGAGAUCCACUGAGUCUGAGUGAGGCACAAAGUGGCAAGAUCCUUUUGAACAUGAAGUUGAAGAGAGGAUCAGAAGACGUAUUGGAUAUCCAAAUGGAAAAAUAUGAAUUCCUAGGAACGGGAAGGAUCGGUGGAUAUAUCUGAAUACUUUGUACGAAAGAUCCAUCCCAAUCACUAUGAAUUAAAUGUAUUUCCACACAAUUCCAAAUCUUCUCUCGGCUCUCCUAUCCUAUUAAAUAUUAUUACUUGAAAUUCAUACCUACACGAGUCCAAAGGUUUCGUGAAUCAAAAAAGAUGCAACACAUCACAUGUAUUUACUGAAUACUUAGAUGUUUUUGGUUUUUAAAGUGAGAACAAUGAGUAUAAAACAAUCACAAAUGUGUGAAUGAGUAACACUGAUGAUUUAAUGCAAAGUUAUAAAUGACCAGAAAGUGACCAAGGAGGUCUACCAGGAUGUUUUCAAGGACAUAUUCAUCCCAUUGAUGAAUGAAGUCACUGAUGGUAAGCCAUAUACAUUCCAACAAGACUCAACACCUGCUAAGGCCAAGAUUGUCCUAGAGCUCUUAGUACAAAAUGUGCCAGAUUUUGGACCCCAUUUUAUUGGCCAGCCAACAGCCCGGCCCCUAAAUCCCUAUGGUUUUUGCUUGUGGGGCAGGGUAGAGAGGAUUGCCUGCAAGAAUAAUUAUGCCUUAGUUGAGGCCUCCAGGGCCUACAUCGUCUAUACAAUGAAGGACAUGGAUCCGCGCGAGGUAAAAAAGGCAUCCAAGACAUUCAGGCGCCAUUUACAGAUUGUGAUCGAGAACGAAAGCUUUCAUUAUAAAUAAUCAUUUUUCAUUUAAUGUGGCUUUCAAAUGUAAAAAAAUUAUCUUUGUAUUUCUUAUACAAGUCUCAUAAUUAGCCGUUAGGCUUAUUCCGGAUUUACCUUGUCCACCCUGUUGUACUUGCAAGGAAAUCAGUUAAAGGAGCAAUGUACUAAUAAAGUUACUUUUAUAA